CCUACGGGAGGCUGCAGUGGGGAAUAUUGCGCAAUGGGCGAAAGCCUGCCGCAGCGACGCCGCGUGAGGGAUGAAGGUCUUCGGAUCGUAAACCUCUGUCAGCAGGGAAGAACGGUCACUGUGCUAAUCAGCAGUGCAUUGACGGUACCUGCAAAGGAAGCACCGGCUAACUCCGUGCCAGCAGCCGCGGUAAUACGGAGGGUGCGAGCGUUAAUCGGAAUUACUGGGCGUACAGCGCUCGUAGGCGGUAUGUCAAGUCAAGGGUGAAAUCCCCGGGCUCAACGUGGGAACUGCCUUUGAAACUGGCAAACUGGAGUGUGUGAGAGGAGAGUGGAAUUCCAGGGGGAGGGGUGAAAUCCGGAGAUAUCUGGAGGAACAUCAGUGGCGAAGGCGACUAUCUGGCACAUAACUGACGCUGAGGAGCGAAAGCGUGGGUAGCAAACAGGAUUAGAUACCCCAGUAGUC
rnacentral:rRNA from 1 species